rnacentral:lncRNA from 1 species
AUCAGGAGGUGUAAGCUAACUGAGUCAGCACAGGACUUUUGUCCUAGAAGAUGAUGAAAUGCUUUCCCGACUGAGUACAAAACUGGGACUGCAGCCACUUGGCCUGCUUUGAAAAGGGAAUACCAGGGAAGUAUAUUCAUUUCAUCCUUUCUAAACAACGGAUCCAGGAGACAGGUCUUAGAGUGGGAGACUGGAGUCACAGCCUGAGAAGUUGACCGUGGGAAGCAGGUGUUGCAUGUAGAGUGGCCCUACAGAUGUGUCAAGAACGGGGACCAACUUGAUCUCGCUCACCACAUGAUCAUGUCUCUUGAUUGUGACCAAACGUUCCUUUGUGUGGGGACUGUCAAAUCCCAUGGCUGUUGAAAGGAAAACAAACAUCUUCUGAUGGUCACUGCCCUUCAAAAUCUCCAGGUGAGAUUGCCUGAGCUCGUAUGCCUCUAUGCUUCAAGGCUGACUCUUCACCAGUCAGGACUCAGGAGCUGAGGAUGUGCGGGGAUACGGAUGCCUUUGGAUCCUGUUGCCUUUGGAGCAUAAUAAAACUUCUCAGGAUGCAUACUCCAGACUUGUCAACCACUGGCGGAAUUUUCUUGCAUGCAUCUUCUGUAAUCCUUGU